ensembl:lncRNA
AUGGUUAGUUCUCGUUUUCUUAAUGAGAGCACAGCUAGCAGUUUUUCUGCUGCUUUUGAUCCACCCUGUUCUUCUGAUAACGACCCAGAUUCCUUAACUUCUCAGUUUAACGAGCACUGCCUCAUCAUCCUAGAUAGCUUUGCUCCUGUUUCUUUGCCUGAGUUAACCAAACUAGUUAACUCUAUGAAGACCUCUGCAUGCCCCCUCGACACCUUACCCUCAUCUUCAUUUAAAAGUGCUUUUCAGUUCAUCGGUCCCAGCGUGCUCUCUAUAAUUAAUGCUUCUCUGGUUUCUGGUCAGGUCCCUGCUUACUUUAAGAAUGUCAUGAGCGUGCCUGGUGAGUGGAGCGGAGGUAGGAUCCAAACGCGGGAGGAAGAAGGCGAACAGAUUGUGGUCUCCACCGAGGUCAUCAAGCUGAAGGACUCACUGCUCUCUAUGCUUCCUCAUGACCUCCCUCCCACCUGUUGGUCUGCAGCUGGUCAAUGCGCCGCAGUGGCAGCUACCAUUGGAGGCUUCAGGAUCCCGCCCACCUCCACCUCCCCAUCGGACUCUGAUGUUGUAUACGUGCUUUCUGUGCUUCCAUGUCGGGUGUUUUUUUGCAUUGGAGUGCUACACCCUGCUGGUGUAACCCUGUUAAUGCCUUUUUUUCUCCCUCCCUGAACUUCACUCAUGUAACACCCUUUUCAUCUAACUAUUAAGGUAGCGCGACUCAUGUUGCAAAUGACCGCAGUCACCAAUUCUUGUUAUGUCUUACCCACGUAUGUCUGAUCUUUGAAUUGUGUGUGCUGAAACUGAAUUUCAUUUCUCUGUAUGUCCUGCACAUGUGGAGAAUAUGACAAUAAAUGACUUUGAACUUGACUGAUUUAAAUGUCAUUCCACAUGGACGGCACUUCCUAAAAUGAGAGCGACAAGCAGAUGCUGCUUCCUGAAUCAAACAAAAAACGUAAGAGUACAAAGUUAAAACGAGGUUAAACGAGGAAGAAGAGAGGCCCGGCGCUCAGUGCAUGUGUUGAUUUUCAAUUGGGUUUCGAGAGGAUAUUAAUUCUCAGUCUACACCCGUUUAUGCAUUUGUGUAAAUGUGGUGAGCUUUUGCAUUUGAAUCAUAUCUCCCUUUGUCAGAAUAAAAGCAUAGAAAGUUUCAACCUAGACUUUAAUAUCUGUGUUCAAUCUACCAAGGUUUUCCAUCCUUAUUUAGCAACACAUUUUGAAUGAAUAACUUCAGAUGUAUGCAUUUUAUUCAGUAACUGUUUUCUGACUAUGUAUUUAUCUACAAAAAAUCAAAAGUCCACAUUUUAGAAGUAAGGUUUUGUAAACACGUGGCAGAUUCUAAACAUCAACUAACAAGAAGACAGCUACUAUAAAAGCAGAGAAGAGCAGGAGCCUGGGUGUUCAAACAGGAAGUAUAUAUAAAGGAAUGUUUAGGUUUGGAAAUGGAACUGUGUAGAAUAUUAUUACUGCAUGUUGCAUAGCCGAUUGGUUUUCCCUUUGUUCUGCCACUUUCAUUUGCACCUAUUUUUUAGGACAUCACAGGAUGAGCAAGAGAUUACGGUACACAUCGACCGGAGGGCAUUUCUAAAUAGGAGCAUCUUAUAGAGCUCCGGGAGUUGAUGUCACUUCUCCCGGCAUGCAACAGUUCAAAUCGAAACGGCGCGAUAUUGGCAUGCAUAAGCCGGCAGCUGGACUAUUUGUUAUUGCGACCACUUCAUAUCAGGUACUUAAACCAACGUUUCCUCAACUGUGUAUGGUAUUUAUUUUAAAUGCUUUUAUUACGAUUCUUAGUGGGCUUCCUAAACUUAUUUUGGCGUGGCUUUUUCUGUCUUAUUACUCAUAGCAACAAGUAAUACGUCACGUAAAACGUUGCCUCGUGAUUUCUGCGUGCUGCCGUUUACGUGUUUUAUGAUCACAGCAAUUAACCGGCUAAGCUGUAUUUAAUUUUUAAGCAAUGGUUGAUCAAUUGUCAGAUCACACAUAAAAAGCACUUUGGAUUGCUAUUAUCUGUCUCACCGAGACAGAUCUCAGACAGAUCCUGAGACGCUCCUGCCUGACAUAUUUAUUUUAUUCACGGAAAAAAAUCAGACUAGUGAUUUCUCUUGGCGUUCAGUUUAUACAUUCAAACAGCACAGCACUCUAUUUAAACUACUUACAUGUAAAUCUAUGUUAUUUGUCCAUCCAUCCANCUUGGGCUAGCUCCUACAGGGGAAUCCCAAGGCGUUCCCCGGCCAGGUCCGGUAAGAAGUCAGCUCCGACAGCUUCUGGCGUUUUAAAAAGUAUCCCAGGGGCACGGUAAGGGUCGGAGAUGUUUAGUCUAUUUAAUUUCUGACUAUAUAAAACGAUUUCUUCGGUUUUAAAGUGUGAAGUAAACUCAGACGAAGUAAAAUCCAAGCCGAUCCCGUUCAUUUUGUUUACCUUUGUUGCCUGCCAACAUGGCGCCUACUCUCUGAGAAUCACGUGACAUCUGGAGCUCUAUUAAGUAAUCUCUGAUUUUUGGAGCCACAUCUAAAGUGCCCAUGUGAUUUACACUGCACAACCCUAUCUCAGUAUCUCAUCUUCAAAAUAUGUACAUUUUAAAAUGAUAAUAAUCACUUCAGGAGCACAAGAGCAAAGACUUAGAUUGUUUUCUGUUGGUCUUUUUAUGCUUUUAUAUUCAUAAAACAUGAACAUUUAACCGGCUCAGAAACUUCUCCACAUCUCACCUCCGCAGAGAGGAAAACAGGAUCAAGGCUCCUUUUAUUUUUAUUAAAAUGAUAUAAAAGUAAAGGUGUGUGUGUGUGUGUGUGUGUGUGUGUGUGUGUGUGUGUGUCACUGGUGAUGAAAACAGCUGAUAUAAUCAGCUAAACUGAAUUCUACAAAUGCUAACAAGACCUAGCAUAAAGCAGGAAGACAUAAUCCACACAGACUAUCUGUAUGACAUGUUAGAGGAGUCAUGUGGCUUCAGAGGGAAGUUGUGUGAGUUGGGGCUCCGGGCUGUGGAGCACACGAGCGAGGGAGUCCAAAGCUGAGCUGUCAGAAACCUCUGGGUCAGCGCACCACGGAGAAUAAAAGAGCGACUCAGCUCAUCCAGCGCUAGCUGCAUAUCUGCAUCACAAAUUGUCCUCUUCACGCAUGUUGUGUGUCGACAUGAAGGCGACACAUGGAUACUUCCACCGGAGCGCCGCGCGUUUCCAUCCGGCUGCUUUCAUGUGAUCAUUUUAUAAAAAUCUGUCAGAUUUUACUGGAUGUCGGCGCAGCCAGAUCAUCUGGAUGGAGUUUUCCUUUAAGCCACUACACGUGUUCACCGAGCAUUUAAGUCUUUAAAGAUAAGACCCCCCACCCCCCCGUCCAGCGUGGACUAAAGUCUGAUAGUGAUCCAUUCAAACCCUUUAAAGUUCACAUCCUCUGAGCACUCAGAGGGAUGGAGCAGAAGCUUUUUCUUAGGCUCGUCUUGCAUUUAAAGUUCACAAGCUCAGAUACGAGCGAGGGAGGCAACAGGAAGGAGAACGGCGAGCUGCUGUGUGUUCAGGCCUGCCCCUGCUGUUGUGGGUGAGGUCAUCAGGAGGAGGGGAGGACAUCUCCCUCCAGCCCUCUUUUUAAAACACGAUGGAGUUUCUGACCCAAUAAGAAAGAAACAGAUCAUCACAAAUUUAAUCCCAAGGCUUUGAUUUCUGAUGUUAAAUUCUGAACGUUCUGGUUAAGGUAGGGUGACCAGAUGUCUCUCUUUGUGCGGGACAGUCCCGCAUUUUCAUUACUUUUCACGUGUCCCGCAAAUCGAGACUCGUGUCCCGCAUUAAUGACAGUUUCCCGUUUUGAGUUUCAAUCUUAUAGAAGAAACUGUGGAGAAAUCUGCCUGUUGCUGUAAAUCAAACGGAGGCGGGACUUUAACGCAAAUCCGGUGUCGGUGCAGGAUCGGCUCGGGGUCCUUCGACUGCCGAUGACGUCACAUGACUGCGACUCUACUCGGCUUGCACACACACGUUUUGGAAAGACAUCAGCAGUUUUGUUAAUAAAUUCUUGUUUGUUAACACCUAAAUGUUUUCUUUAUAAUUGUAAUUUGUUAAUAAAACACCAUAUUAUCUUUGUUUUGUAAAGAAUGUGAAACUGCAUAAAACCAACAUCGGACUGACAAAAAAUAGAACAGUUCUUAUAUGUGAAGCCAUAUCUGUUUGUAUUAAUGUGGAGUUC